ACCCUGGAACCUGCAGUUGGUUAGAGUGUGGUGCUGAUAACGGCAGGGUUGCAGGUUCAAUCCCUGUAUGGGACA